ACCUUUUCCAGGCCAAUGACGUGGAACAGCACGAUGAGCAGCGGCUACAGCAGCUUGGAGGAGGACUCUGAGGAGUACUUUUUCACGGCCAGGACCUCCUUCUUCAAAAAACCCCCCGCAAAAGCCACCGAGGGAAAGGAUGUGGAGAAGGA